AGAAAUGCAGUUGUCAGCCCUUCAGUGUCACAAUUUGCAGCAACAGGAGGAGCAGAAAUCUGGAAAUCAGCCCAAUUUGGCAGUGUCUGUACAGGACACCCUAAAGUGGACACUUCCCUGCACCAACCCCACCGUGGCAAGAGUUCCUCACUGAGCCAGAACAGAGCAAACCCAUGUUUUAAAUUCUGAGAAUCUUAGUCAAGUGGAAUUCUUGUUCUGCAAACAGCUCUGAGGAAGAAUCUGGAAAUAUGAAUAUCAUUUGGAGAGGAAGAUGGGAUACAGCUCUUAAGCCUCCUGCAACAGGAGCCCUCGUAGGAGCUGUGUUAUCAGACCUCCAUCUCCCCACCUUAAGACCUCUCAACAGCUCACAGG